GGACCUCCAAUACAGUGUUGAACAGGAAGAUUAAGAGCUGAUAUGGUUGCCUUUUUUACCAAUCAAUCACAGAAAAUAUUCAGUCCUUCAUCAUAAAGUAUGAUACUAACCUUGCUUAUUCCUGUGAACUAACCACUGAUCACUGACUGAAGUUUAGAAGAGACAAAAGGGAGAGAAGACAUCAGAAACAAAACUGGUUCCUAAUGCCAUAAAAGUCUCAGAAGUCUUAGAUAUCUGCACCUCAGAUGACAACUUGGGAUAUCCGGCUAGAUUCAAACUCCUGAGCUCAAGGGAUCCUCCUACAUCAGCCUCUCUAGUAGCUGAAACUACAGGUAUGUAAUAUUUAACUUUUAAACAUGGUAUGUUCUAGACUUUAGAAGCAGAAUAUUUGAAUUUUCUGAAAAUAUUGA
rnacentral:lncRNA from 1 species